UUUAGGGUUCGACGGCGUAAAGCUCAAUCGAAAAUAAACCUUAUGAGCAUUGAAUAGGGGGCUGUCCCUGACAAUGGUGUGCAAGCUCAGCUCGUACUGAGAAGCCUAAAGUUGUUACCAUGGCCACCCACUUUAGCGAAAACAGGUUUAUGUUUCAGAGUAGCCAUCGAGCCUUUUUU
rnacentral:other from 1 species